AUUGAACGCUGGCGGCAGGCCUAACACAUGCAAGUCGAGCGACCGGCGGGCGGGUGAGUAAUGUAUGGGGACUGCCCGAUAGAGGGGGAUAACUACUGGAAACGGUAGCUACUACCGCAUACUAUCGGAUAACCCAUAUGGGAUUAGCUAGUAGGUGAGGUAAUGGCUCACCCAGGCGACGAUCCCUAGCUGGUCUGAGAGGAGGAUCAGCCACACUGGGACUGAGACACGGCCCAGACUCCUACGGAGGCAGCAGUGGGGAAUAUUGCACAAUGGGGGAAAGCCUGAUGCAGCCAUGCCGCGUGUGUGAAGAAGGCCUUAGGGUUGUAAAGUACUUUCAGUCGGGAGGCGUUACCGACAGAAGAAGCACCGGCUAACUCCGUGCCAGCAGCCGCGGUAAUAC
rnacentral:rRNA from 1 species